rnacentral:lncRNA from 1 species
GGAUAUCAUGCCAUAAGUUUUCAUGUGAAAGUGUUUCUACAUUGAGAAAAUAUGGCAUGGAAGAGGUAUGGCGCACAAGGAAAGGGUGGGUGGCACAUCAAAAGGAGUUUGAGUUUGUUUCAAACUCUAUCCUAUCUCCUAAACCCUAACCUCCUAGUAUUUAAAUGAGAGAAUUUUGUGGUGUGGCUACUUUGUGAUG